GACGAACGCUGGCGGCGUGCUUAACACAUGCAAGUCGAACGGAAAGGCCCUGCUUUUGUGGGGUGCUCGAGUGGCGAACGGGUGAGUAACACGUGAGUAACCUGCCCUUGACUUUGGGAUAACUUCAGGAAACUGGGGCUAAUACCGGAUAGGGGCUCCUGCUGCAUGGUGGGGGUUGGAAAGGUUCGGCGGUUGGGGAUGGACUCGCGGCUUAUCAGCUUGUUGGUGGGGUAGUGGCUUACCAAGGCUUUGACGGGUAGCCGGCCUGAGAGGGUGACCGGCCACAUUGGGACUGAGAUACGGCCCAGACUCCUACGGGAGGCAGCAGUGGGGAAUAUUGCACAAUGGGCGGAAGCCUGAUGCAGCAACGCCGCGUGCGGGAUGACGGCCUUCGGGUUGUAACCCGCUUUCGCCUGUGACGAAGCGUGCGUGACGGUAAUGGGUCAAGAAGCACCGGCUAACUACGUG
rnacentral:rRNA from 1 species